UACGAAGGGGGCUAGCGUUGUUCGGAAUUACUGGGCGUAAAGGGCGCGUAGGCGGAAUGGCAAGUCGGUCGUGAAAUCCUUCGGCUCAACCGAAGAACGUCGAUCGAAACUGCCGUUCUUGAGGAUUGCAGAGGAGACUGGAAUUCCCGGUGUAGCGGUGAAAUGUGUAGAGAUCGGGAGGAACACCGGUGGCGAAGGCGGGUCUCUGGGCAAUUCCUGACGCUGAGGCGCGAAAGCGUGGGGAGCAAACGGG
rnacentral:rRNA from 1 species